rnacentral:rRNA from 1 species
GAUGAACGCUGGCGGCGUGCCUAAUACAUGCAAGUCGAGCGAACAGAUGAGGAGCUUGCUCCUCUGACGUUAGCGGCGGACGGGUGAGUAACACGUGGAUAACCUACCUAUAAGACUGGGAUAACUUCGGGAAACCGGAGCUAAUACCGGAUAAUAUAUUGAACCGCAUGGUUCAAUAGUGAAAGACGGUUUUGCUGUCACUUAUAGAUGGAUCCGCGCCGCAUUAGCUAGUUGGUAAGGUAACGGCUUACCAAGGCAACGAUGCGUAGCCGACCUGAGAGGGUGAUCGGCCACACUGGAACUGAGACACGGUCCAGACUCCUACGGGAGGCAGCAGUAGGGAAUCUUCCGCAAUGGGCGAAAGCUUGACGGAGCAACGCCGCGUGAGUGAUGAAGGUCUUCGGAUCGUAAAACUCUGUUAUUAGGGAAGAACAAAUGUGUAAGUAACUAUGCACGUCUGGACGGUACCUAAUCAGAAAGCCACGGCUAACUACGU